UCCAUGUUUGUUGCAAACGGUGUAGAUUCGCUUGGAGCAGAUGGUGGAGAAGAGUCUCUGUUAGUCUCUUGAGUAGAGUGAGUUCUAGCUGGACGCACUGUAUUGGAAUUGGAGUGAAGUGAUGCUAAUUGAUCGGGAGGGCCUGUGUUGAGUUCCACUUUCCAAGUACGAUUUACUUGAACAUCAGAACAGUGUCUACUUCAGCCAUGAGAGAAUCCCCGGGCAAGUAAUCUAGUAGAGACGGCGGUUUCCGACCAUAGAGUGCUUGGAAAGGUGUCAUUCCUAUGGCACUGUGCAGGGUAGUAUUAUACCAGUACUCAACCUAAUGUAAGAAGUUUAUGCAGGGUUUGGAAUAAGGUGGGUACAACGAAGAGAAUGUCAACAAGAGUAGUUCACUUUCAAUGUUCCUUCGAGAAAGAACAUCUGCCACCCGGUUUUGGUGACCCGGUAAAGGAUGUCAUAGAAGAAUCCUUGGAGUUUGGUGGCCCAAGGUUGUUGCUCAGGAGUCAACAAGCUUUGUUGGUCUGUAUAUAUACCUUGAAAUAAUUUCCGAUCAAGGAUUGCUUCCAUUUCUUAGUAGCUUUUGUGAUGGCAUACAUUUCCCUUGCAUAAGCUGAUGUCUAUUGGAUUUUUUGGCAGUUUUCUUUUACUGAAAAAGGUAAUUGGCUGACUAUGUUGGUUGAGAACUACUCCUAACGCAAAGUUGGAAGCAUGAGUUUCAAUCUCAAAAGGCAUUUUAAAAUUGGGAAAACUGAGGACUGGAGCCUAUGUGAUAAUGUAUUUUAAUGUUGUAAAUGCCUGUAAUGUGUGUGUAUUCCAUUGAAAUUGUACAUUAGCGCGCAGUAGCUCUGUGAGUCAAUCCUAAAAAAUCAUUGAUAAAAGCCAGUCAAUCCUAAAAAAUAGCAGAUCGAGCUUGCACCUUGGAAGG